rnacentral:rRNA from 1 species
AUUGAACGCUGGCGGCAUGCUUUACACAUGCAAGUCGAACGGUAACAGGCCGCAAGGUGCUGACGAGUGGCGAACGGGUGAGUAAUGCAUCGGAACGUGCCCAGUCGUGGGGGAUAACGCAGCGAAAGCUGCGCUAAUACCGCAUACGAUCUAUGGAUGAAAGCGGGGGACCGUAAGGCCUCGCGCGAUUGGAGCGGCCGAUGUCGGAUUAGGUAGUUGGUGGGGUAAAGGCUCACCAAGCCAACGAUCUGUAGCUGGUAUGAGAGGACGACCAGCCACACUGAGACUGAGACACGGCCCAGACUCCUACGGGAGGCAGCAGUGGGGAAUUUUGGACAAUGGGCGCAAGCCUGAUCCAGCAAUGCCGCGUGCAGGAAGAAGGCCUUCGGGUUGUAAACUGCUUUUGUACGGAACGAAAAGGUUUGGGUUAAUACCCUGGGCCGAUGACGGUACCGUAAGAAUAAGCACCGGCUAACUACGUGCCAGCCGCCGCAGUAACAC